GUUUGGAGCUGGGGCUUGAGUGCAGCAGUCUGCAGGAGAGAAGUCCUCAAGUGUUUGCUUUUGAUUGCUCUGCAAAUACUUUGUCAAGGAUGCUGAUUCUACACAAGUGGCCUCCCUUUGAACAAUUCUUGAUUUAGGAGAUUAACAGAUCCCCAAAUAUGUGGAAUUCAGUUCUCUUCCUCUUCCGCUUCUUCCAGAAGACCAUCUUCCUUUGAGUGUUGCUGCAGGAAAGUUUCUUCAAGGCCCGCUGUGUCUGACAGGCAAGCAGAAACAGGCUGGGGAUUCCACAUGCUGACAGGACAGAACGUGGGCAACACAAUGACCACAGAGCCCAAUCGCCGAUGCCCAAAAAUGAAGAGUCAUCAGAGGGGGUAAAGGAUACAAAAAAGGGGAUUUCAGAGCAGCAAAGGGUCCCUAGGAAGGGAACCUGAGGCCACCAUGGACAGAGGGCAUACCACCAGCCUGUCUUAUCCACCCCAUGGUGGGGGGUCCUCAGCUUCCAGCCUCCGGGCUGCUGACAUCUCACAUUCAAGAGAGAACUUCAGAGUGAAGCUUGUGUACUGGCCAGAUGUACCAUGACUCUGUGAACCCUGGGACUGGUAGAUACAGAGGUGUUUGCCUUAUUCUUAUCUGCUAUCACUGUGUAGCAAUACAAUUUGCCUAUUAACAAAUGGCGAGGUUGUGGUCAGUCUGAGGGGUUGGGUGUGGUGGGCCAGUAGAUGGUGCUUCUGCACUGAGCCACCCACCUCACUGCUCCCAACCACCUUCCAGGCUCUGAGUGCCUC